rnacentral:rRNA from 1 species
GAGUUUGAUCAUGGCUCAGGAUGAACGCCGGCGGUGUGCCUAAUACAUGCAAGUCGUACGCACUGGCCCAACUGAUUGAUGGUGCUUGCACCUGAUUGACGAUGGAUCACCAGUGAGUGGCGGACGGGUGAGUAACACGUAGGUAACCUGCCCCGGAGCGGGGGAUAACAUUUGGAAACAGAUGCUAAUACCGCAUAACAACAAAGGCCACAUGGCUUUUGUUUGAAAGAUGGCUUUGGCCAUCACUCUGGGAUGGACCUGCGGUGCAUUAGCUAGUUGGUAAGGUAACGGCUUACCAAGGCGAUGAUGCAUAGCCGAGUUGAGAGAUUGAUCGGCCACAAUGGAACUGAGACACGGUCCAUACUCCUACGGGAGGCAGCAGUAGGGAAUCUUCCACAAUGGGCGCAAGCCUGAUGGAGCAACACCGCGUGAGUGAAGAAGGGUUUCGGCUCGUAAAGCUCUGUUGUUGGAGAAGAACGUGCGUGAGAGU